ACUGACUAGAGGGAAGUUGAUGUAUAAAACAUUCAAAUCAAAGAAAUCAGAGACUCAAAAUUUCCGAACCUCUCUCCUAACGAAAGCAGGAAGAGAGGAGGCAUUAGUGGAGUAUAAGAAAGAGAUUGAGUUACUUCAAGAAAAUAUAUCAAUCACUAGUGUACAACUGCUGAUGAGUCAAAAGCGGGCAAAUAUUGA